AUACGUAGGGGGCGAGCGUUGUCCGGAAUGAUUGGGCGUAAAGGGCGCGUAGGCGGCCCGGUAAGUCUGGAGUGAAAGUCCUGUUUUUAAGAUGGGAAUUGCUUUGGAUACUGUCGGGCUUGAGUGCAGGAGAGGUAAGUGGAAUUCCCAGUGUAGCGGUGAAAUGCGUAGAGAUUGGGAGGAACACCAGUGGCGAAGGCGACUUACUGGACUGUAACUGACGCUGAGGCGCGAAAGUGUGGGGAGCGAACAGGAUUAGAUACCCUGGUAGUCCACACUGUAAACGAUGAAUGCUAGGUGUAGGGGGUAUCGACCCCUUCUGUGCCGCAGUCAACACAAUAAGCAUUCCGCCUGGGGAGUACGGCCGCAAGGUUGAAACUCAAAUGAAUUGGCGGGG
rnacentral:rRNA from 1 species